CUACGACGUGUGGUUUCCAUAGUGAGAACCAUGCCUCGAGAAUGUGCUGCACCCGACUGCCUCGAAAAGAUGGGAAAAGAGGAUAAUUUUUAUGUCCUUGUUGUCCUUGUGCAAUGUUUUGAAGCAGUUUUUCCUUAGUUCCAUCACUGAGAAUAAAGAUACAUUAUUAAAAUUAUAAAAUAUACUUUUAACAAAUUCAUUAUGCUUUCACUUUUUUCAUGGAUUAUUUUAGUAGUUGUUUCCAACAUCUCAUGCCAUACAUUAAAAAAAAUUACAUAAAUAUGUCCCUGUUCUCAACUGACGAAAAACAUUUUUUUCUGAAUUAAGGUCUUUAACGGCAGCGACUGAUGAUUUACUGACUGUGACAAUGAAUAUACAGACAUAUAAAGGAAUAAUGCAUGUUAUCAUUAAUUCACACAACAUUUUGAACUUCUUGUGACUGUACUAGAUUCUGUGGUCUGGCGACAACAGUGACUGUGCCAUGUACAUGUCCUCCAUGUGUGAGUGUCAAGACCCUGGGUCAGGCCGUGUGAUGGACAGGAGAGUGCUAUACUUUUGUAAUAACACUCUUCCCGGAGCAAGUCGUCCUGUUGAAUAUCACGCCGCAAAGACUCUUUUUGACCGGAUCGCCCGGUACAGGUAAAACUGUGGUGCUGUUGAUGAUGGCCAUACAGUGGUUGCAAUGUGGUCACCACGUCUACAUUGUGAGUGUCUGGAGAUGCAGUGACGCAGUCUGCACCAUCUGUAUCACUUGUUGCUGCACACAAUAAACACACAACAGUCAGAAGGUGUAUCACCCAAUCAUCUUCACCUCCUGAAGUAUAAUUUUCAUGACCGUAAAGAAGAAGAGAAGAACGUCAACGACUUCUCACAGGCGGCGAGCGGAGGGUCGUUGUACAUCAUCACUGAUGACGUGAUGUGAGUAGUACAGCGUGUGAUGUGAUGAUAGACAUCAAGGGAUCUUUUAUCUCAUAAUCACCACCAGGUGUUACACAGUAUUUCCUCAAUGGUUGUGACACCUGAUGAAGGUGUUGUAAUGUAACUAAACGAAGAUUUGUCCUGUUUCACAGUUACACAAAUUGUGGCAUCAUUUUUACGUCAUUUGCACAUCGUGUAUUCGAGCUCAUUUAUUUAUUUAUUAUUCACUCAAUCACAUAUUCUAAAUUGACACCAGCAGCAUCUUCAGCAGCUGCUACUGACAGUAAGGUUUUAUGUGAACUUCCACUGAUUAUAUUUAGAGAAUUAGAUGUGCUUUCUUGUUGUGGGUUUUCAUUAAGAGACCUACAAUUAUCAGCGCUAAGAGACUUCGCUUUGCUUUUAGGGGCCACCAUCAGACGGUCUGUUCCUGCAUCACCAUCAUCCGCACCAGCAACGACUCUUACCAUAUCAACUCACCCAUUGUACGUGCCAUCUUCAGAAGAUUCACAGAUGGGAUUUUUAUAUAUGUAUAAGGAGACUGUCGCUGAUCGAAACAUAUUUUUGUUUCAGGUUUUGUAUCUGAGCUAUUUUGGUGGCCGCACACCAAAAGAGGCACUGUAAAGUCUGCUGAAGCAUCUGCUUGCUCCAAAACUAUUUUAUACAGCUUGGAAGGGAGGAAGGAAAAACGAAGAUUUAACACCUUGCAACAUUUAAAAGCCACAAUUUAUGAGCCCAUACUGAAACGAUACAACGAUGUCACAAUGGCCACUUUGGACAAGUACACAGGGGAAUGGCUGGCCAUAUCAGGUGCAUGUGAGAAAUGACAAUGGCCACGCUAUCGACACUGUUGCUGGCGCUCACGCUGAUGGUUUAUGCGAAUGCUGAGGUUGGCGUUUAUCAGGAGAUUAUCGAAAUCAAUGCAAGGCUUGAUCGUCUUGAACGACACGUCUUUUUUAUGGCGACUACCAGUUUGACGACGCUUCCGAGUGGCGCUCUAGUCUUUGGCGAAAUCCGGGCCAACACAGGCGGCGCCUACAACCCAGCAACCGGCGUCUUCAC